GAGGAAUAUUGGUCAAUGGACGAGAGUCUGAACCAGCCAAGUAGCGUGAAGGAUGACUGCCCUAUGGGUUGUAAACUUCUUUUAUACGGGAAUAAAGUGAGGCACGUGUGCCUUUUUGUAUGUACCGUAUGAAUAAGGAUCGGCUAACUCCGUGCCAGCAGCCGCGGUAAUACGGAGGAUCCGAGCGUUAUCCGGAUUUAUUGGGUUUAAAGGGAGCGUAGGCGGACGCUUAAGUCAGUUGUGAAAGUUUGCGGCUCAACCGUAAAAUUGCAGUUGAUACUGGGUGUCUUGAGUACAGUAGAGGCAGGCGGAAUUCGUGGUGUAGCGGUGAAAUGCUUAGAUAUCACGAAGAACUCCGAUUGCGAAGGCAGCUUGCUGGACUGUAACUGACGCUGAUGCUCGAAAGUGUGGGUAUCAGACAGGAUUAGAUACCCUGGUAGUCCACACAGUAAACGAUGAAUACUCGCUGUUUGCGAUAUACAGUAAGCGGCCAAGCGAAAGCGUUAAGUAUUCCACCUGGGGAGUACGCCGGCAACGGUGAAACUCAAAGGAAUUGACGGGGGCCCGCACAAGCGGAGGAACAUGUGGUUUAAUUCGAUGAUACGCGAGGAACCUUACCCGGGCUUGAAUUGCAACUGAAUGAUGUGGAGACAUGUCAGCCGCAAGGCAGUUGUGAAGGUGCUGCAUGGUUGUCGUCAGCUCGUGCCGUGAGGUGUCGGCUUAAGUGCCAUAACGAGCGCAACCCUUAUCGAUAGUUACCAUCAGGUUAUGCUGGGGACUCUGUCGAGACUGCCGUCGUAAGAUGUGAGGAAGGUGGGGAUGACGUCAAAUCAGCACGGCCCUUACGUCCGGGGCUACACACGUGUUACAAUGGGGGGUACAGAAGGCAGCUACACGGCGACGUGAUGCUAAUCCCGAAAGCCUCUCUCAGUUCGGAUUGGAGUCUGCAACCCGACUCCAUGAAGCUGGAUUCGCUAGUAAUCGCGCAUCAGCCACGGCGCGGUGAAUACGUUCCCG
rnacentral:rRNA from 1 species